rnacentral:rRNA from 1 species
GAUGAACGCUGGCGGCGUGCCUAAUACAUGCAAGUCGAACGAGGUGCUUGAGUAGCAAUACGAGAGUAUCCUAGUGGCGAACGGGUGAGUAACGCGUGGAUGACCUGCCCCAAAGUGUGGGAUAACAGUCCGAAAGGAUUGCCAAUACCUCAUGUGGUUAUCGGGUUUAGAAACUGAUAACUAAAGCAGCAAUGCGCUUUGGGAGGGAUCUGCGUCCCAUCGGCUAGUUGGUGAGGUAACGGCUCACCAAGGCGACGACGGGUAGGGGACCUGAGGGGGUGGCCCCCCACAAUGGAACUGAAACACGGUCCAUACACCUACGGGUGGCAGCAGUAGGGAAUAUUGCUCAAUGGGCGAAAGCCUGAAGCAGCAACGCCGCGUGUGCGAUGAAGGCCUUCGGGUCGUAAAGCACUUUUCUAAGAGAUGAGAAAGGACAGUAUCUUAGGAAUAAGUCUCGGCUAACUACGUGCCAGCAGCCGCGGUAACAC